rnacentral:rRNA from 1 species
GACGAACGCUGGCGGCGUGCUUAACACAUGCAAGUCGAGCGGUAAGGCCUCUUCGGGGGUACACGAGCGGCGAACGGGUGAGUAACACGUGGGUGACCUGCCCUCAGCUCUGGGAUAAGCCUGGGAAACUGGGUCUAAUACCGGAUAUGACCUUUCCUCGCAUGGGGUUUGGUGGAAAGUUUUUUCGGCUGGGGACGGGCCCGCGGCCUAUCAGCUUGUUGGUGGGGUGAUGGCCUACCAAGGCGACGACGGGUAGCCGGCCUGAGAGGGCGACCGGCCACACUGGGACUGAGACACGGCCCAGACUCCUACGGGAGGCAGCAGGGGGGAAUAUUGCGCAAUGGGCGGAAGACUGACGCAGCGACGCCGCGUGGGGGAGGACGGCCGUCGGGUUGUAAACCUCUUUCGACCCCGACGAAUUUGGACGGUAGGGGUAGAAGAAGCACCGGCCAACUACGUG